UCGACCUCAUAUCUUGACUUACAUCUAAAAAGUGAGAGUCGGUUGAAAACAAAACUUUAAGACAAAAGAGAUGAUUUCAGCUUUCCAAUCGUGAACUUUCCAUUUCUAAGUAGAAACAUUCUGGCAGCACCUGCAUACGGGGUAUAUAUCUCCCAAUUGAUAAUAUUUUCCAUGCUUGCAUUUCCUAUUAUUUAUUUUUUUUGAUAG
rnacentral:lncRNA from 1 species